rnacentral:tRNA from 1 species
GCCUUGGUAGUGUAGUGGUCUAGCAUUCAGGCCUGUCGAGCCUGCGACCCGGGUUCAAAUCCCGGCCAAGGCG